ACUGAGAUACGGCCCAGACUCCUACGGGAGGCAGCAGUGGGGAAUAUUGCACAAUGGGCGCAAGCCUGAUGCAGCGACGCCGCGUGCGGGAUGACGGCCUUCGGGUUGUAAACCGCUUUUGACUGGGAGCAAGCCCUUCGGGGUGAGUGUACCUUUCGAAUAAGCACCGGCUAACUACGUGCCAGCAGCCGCGGUAAUACGUAGGGUGCAAGCGUUAUCCGGAAUUAUUGGGCGUAAAGGGCUCGUAGGCGGUUCGUCGCGUCCGGUGUGAAAGUCCAUCGCUUAACGGUGGAUCCGCGCCGGGUACGGGCGGGCUUGAGUGCGGUAGGGGAGACUGGAAUUCCCGGUGUAACGGUGGAAUGUGUAGAUAUCGGGAAGAACACCAAUGGCGAAGGCAGGUCUCUGGGCCGUCACUGACGCUGAGGAGCGAAAGCGUGGGGAGCGAACAGGAUUAGAUACCCUGGUAGUCCACGCCGUAAACGGUGGAUGCUGGAUGUGGGGACCAUACCACGGUCUCCGUGUCGGAGCCAACGCGUUAAGCAUCCCGCCUGGGGAGUACGGCCGCAAGGCUAAAACUCAAAGAAAUUGACGGGGGCCCGCACAAGCGGCGGAGCAUGCGGAUUAAUUCGAUGCAACGCGAAGAACCUUACCUGGGCUUGACAUGUUCCCGACAGCCCCAGAGAUGGGGCCUCCCUUCGGGGCGGGUUCACAGGUGGUGCAUGGUCGUCGUCAGCUCGUGUCGUGAGAUGUUGGGUUAAGUCCCGCAACGAGCGCAACCCUCGCCCUGUGUUGCCAGCACGUCGUGGUGGGAACUCACGGGGGACCGCCGGGGUCAACUCGGAGGAAGGUGGGGAUGACGUCAGAUCAUCAUGCCCCUUACGUCCAGGGCUUCACGCAUGCUACAAUGGCCGGUACAACGGGAUGCGACCUCGUGAGGGGGAGCGGAUCCCUUAAAACCGGUCUCAGUUCGGAUUGGAGUCUGCAACCCGACUCCAUGAAGGCGGAGUCGCUAGUAAUCGCGGAUCAGCAACGCCGCGGUGAAUGCGUUCCCGGGCCUUGUACACACCGCCCGUCAAGUCAUGAAAGUGGGUAGCACCCGAAGCCGGUGGCCCAACCUUUUUGGGGGGGGCCGUCUAAGGUGAGACUCGUGAUUGGGACUAAGUCGUAACAAGGUAGCCAUACCGGAAGGUGCGGCUG
rnacentral:rRNA from 1 species